rnacentral:rRNA from 1 species
CAAGUCGAACGGUAACGCGGGGGCAACCCUGGCGACGAGUGGCGAACGGGUGAGUAAUACAUCGGAACAUAUCCAGUAGCGGGGGAUAACCUAUCGAAAGAUUGGCUAAUACCGCAUACGAUCUACGGAUGAAAGCGGGGGACCGCAAGGCCUCGCACUAUUGGAGUGGCCGAUGUCAGAUUAGCUAGUUGGUGGGGUAAAAGCCUACCAAGGCGACGAUCUGUAGCUGGUCUGAGAGGACGAUCAGCCACACUGGAACUGAGACACGGUCCAGACUCCUACGGGAGGCAGCAGUGGGGAAUUUUGGACAAUGGGCGCAAGCCUGAUCCAGCCAUGCCGCGUGAGUGAAGAAGGCCUUCGGGUUGUAAAGCUCUUUCGGUGAAGACGAAACGGUUAGCGCUAAUAACGCUGACUAAUGACGGUACUCACAGAAGAAGCACCGGCUAACUACGUGCCAGCAGCCGCGGUAAUACGUAGGGUGCAGGCGUUAAUCGGAAUUACUGGGCGUAAAGCGUGCGCAGGCGGUUUGCUAAGACAGGUGUGAAAUCCCCGGGCUUAACCUGGGAAUUGCGCUUGUAACUGGCAGGCUAGAGUGUGGCAGAGGGGGGUGGAAUUCCACGUGUAGCAGUGAAAUGCGUAGAUAUGUGGAGGAACACCGAUGGCGAAGGCAGCCCCCUGGGUCAACACUGACGCUCAGGCACGAAAGCGUGGGGAGCAAACAGGAUUAGAUACCCUGGUAGUCCACGCCCUAAACUAUGUCAACUAGUUGUCGGGGAAGAAAUUCCUUGGUAACGAAGCUAACGCGUGAAGUUGACCGCCUGGGGAGUACGGCCGCAAGGUUAAAACUCAAAGGAAUUGACGG